AUUAAGGUGAACUAUAAAUUUGGUAAUCAACAUUUGUACUGCCUUAUAAAUAAAGCACUAAAAUCAAUGUAAAGCUUUACAGCAGCCUAAGAAAAAGGUGAACAUUGGAGCGAGGAUUAGGAUUGGAAUAUUAAAUUACUGGAAUCUAGCUGUUUAAAGAAGUUGGACAUUAGCAAGAUCAUUACAACUAAAAUUCUAGGAAGUGCAUCAAACACAGUGAGAAAAAGAAUAAGAAUGAUGGAUUGAGAAUGACUAAGCCCUAAGAAACAAACUACAAUUUGAUAGCAUGUCAAGAAAAGUAACAUUAAAAACAUCCGUAGUUCCUAUGUUUAAAAAAAAAUAUUAUCGGUCCGAUUUUGGAUUAAAAACGUAAAAUACAUCA